rnacentral:rRNA from 1 species
CCCUUAGAUGUUCUGGGCUGCACGCGCGCUACACUGAAGCGUUCAACGAGUAUUCACCUUGCCCGGGAGGGUUGGGUAAUCUUUUGAAAACGCUUCGUGAUGGGGAUAGAUUAUUGCAAUUAUUAAUCUUCAACGAGGAAUUCCUAGUAAACGCAAGUCAUCAGCUUGCAUUGAUUACGUCCCUGCCCUUUGUACACACCGCCCGUCGCACCUACCGAUUGAAUGGUCCGGUGAAAUCUCGGGACGGCGGCUUGGUCGCUUGCGUCCGACUGCUGAAACUUGAUUAAACCAUAUCAUUUAGAGGAAGGUGAAGUCGUANCA